rnacentral:rRNA from 1 species
UACAUGGGGUGCAAACGUUGCUCGGAAUUAUUGGGCGUAAAGCGCACGUAGGUGGUCUGUUAUGUCAGAUGUGAAAGCCCUCGGCUUAACUGAGGAAGUGCACCUGAAACUGGCAGGCUUGAGUACGAAAGAGGGUCGCGGAAUUCCCGGUGUAGAGGUGAAAUUCGUAGAUAUCGGGAGGAACACCGGUGGCGAAGGCGGCGACCUGGUUCGAUACUGACGCUCAGGCACGAAAGCAUGGGGAGCAAAAGGG